GUCAAAAAUGUCUGGUGUGAAAAGGCCCAUGGAGCAGUCAAAUCCACAAAGCAAACAUCCCCCUGGAAGACGUUGUCUCACUGCAGCAUAGUUGUUAUUCACUGGCUGGAGGCGGAGUCUUACUCUUGCUCAAGACAAAAUACAUGGUUGGGUGACACGCGACGUCAGUCCACUCUCCAGAGGCCACCAUGUCAGCACAGUCUUCGUCGUCAUAGGCGUUGUUGGGCUCUCCUUUCCUCCAUCUGGCGAAGGUGGUCAUGGGAGAGCUAUCCACAAGAUAUACCAAUCUCUCCAGGAGGGCCAACUCGUCCUGGUCUCCCCGGUGCUCCUUUUUGACCUUUCUCCCCUGGUUCUCCUUUUGAAGGAAAAGACAGAAAAGAAUAAUAAGGACAUUCGAAGACAGAUUCUAUUUUUGUCCACUUUGUAUUGUUUAUGUAAAGAACUGCAUGCC